rnacentral:misc_RNA from 1 species
GGUCUCCAGGGAGGACCUGAGUUUUCUUCACCCAUUGUCAGGAAGGCGCCAUCGCCCUGGCUUUUGGGGCUGGGGCCUCCGGGGAGGUUCCGGUAGGGGCGUUGGAGAGGCCCGCUCUUUUUGCAAGGCCCGAGACGGCGGGCCCUGCGCAGGCCGCCCUAUUUCCGCGCGCCCUCAGGGCGUCAGUAUCAGCCUGAGGCUGGAUACCCCCGCUGGCCCCGGAUGCCCCCGCUGGGCCCGGAGCAUCCUCCGGCGCUGCCCUCCCAGAGCCACGCAGAGGCUGAGGUGGCGCGGGGGCGGCCCCGGCUCCGCGAGAAGCGGCGGCAGCGAGGGCUGGAGGACCCGGGCUGCGGGGCUCCGGGGCGUCUGGCCUGGGUGGGACUGAGCCCAUCCAGGGACUGGGACUCUGGGAUUCUGGUGUAGGUGGAUCCGGGGCAGGCUCAGGACCAAGUCCCUCUCCUUCCACCAAGGAGCGCCCAGAGGCCGGCGGGAGCUCCAGGUUCACCUCCUCCUCCUCCAGGAAAUCCCACUUCCAGCUAGAUGUCUGCAUGAACUACUGAAAGCUGCUGAGUGUCUUGCAGCAGGUGAGCUGUGGCCAGAGCUCAAGGAUGAAGGGGACUCCCUCACUGUGUGACUGUGAAGAGGAAGCCUGAGGUGUAGCAGGCCCAGGCCCCAGAAGUAUGGAAAAAAUGAGGCCAUUUUCAAUCCAGAGGAAGACCUUCUAAAAGAGGUGAUGGAUGGGAGAGUGCUGACAUACUAUGUGAAGCUACUAUUUGGAGUUGGACACGAGUGCAUGUGACCUUGUGCCACAGCGGGAAUCUUGACUACCACACAAAUGAAUCCAUUCAAAUGUUGGCAAGUGGAGCAGAGUCCCAGGACAGGUAAAGCACUUUCCCUGCUUUUUCUUAAGAUCAAUCCCCAUGCCUAGAAAUUAAAGUCACAUCCCACAUGAUCAUUAAAGUAGAGAGUGCAUUCUACAGGAUGAGUGAAAAGGCAUUUAUGAUUCUUGGGGGCAGAUGUUCUACAGUUGCCUGUGCUAGUUCAUGUCUUUCUGCAGAUCACAUUCUUAACCUCUAGAGAGUCUGGCAGGACCAGAGCCUUACCUUUCCCAGUCUCCAAUCUCUACAGGUACAGAAACACCCCCAGUUCAAGAAUCUUCACAUCUGAAUUUAGUCCUACACCUGCAACUACCCCAGGUAAGUUUCCUUGUUCUUCAAUGGCAAAGUUUGGACAAUGCUGUUCAAACUCCAGGCAACAAGCAACAUCUAGGGAAUGUGCUUUUAGGUAGGGUCAGCAUAAUAUCCCACCCUGGAAGACAUUUUUAUUUUAAAGUUGUAGAGGGUGAUGCUGCUGGCGGCUCCCUCCCAAUUAGCACCAUUUGCAGCCUCUUUUGAAGACAGAGAACUGAGGGCUGUCCUUCAAAUGGAGCAGUGUGAUUCCAAAAAAAAGAGAUGCUCCUUGUGGUCCUGGGACCAGGGAUAGGACUCCAGCUGAGCCUGGUGGAAGAGGUCCACGUCCUAGCCCAACGGAGAGCCAUGCAGCUGAGCUUGGGCGAUGUGGUCCACGUGGUUGUUUCUGAGUGUGUCCUGAGGUUGCUGGAUGGCUUGCAGUUCCCUAUGCAGAUCCAAUGCUUCUUUUGCUUUUUUGGUUCUGCAACCUGGAAUUUAUAUGUUCAAGAUGGAGCCAUCUCAGCCAUGACAACAGAGAAUGUACCACUCUCACAUGAGGAAGAGGGGUAGGAAGUGCUCCUGUAUCACCAGCCCUUAAUGAGACCCUGAGGAAACCACAUCAUGGAGAUCAGCCCUUCUCUCCUGUAAGGAACUCAUCCUAUGAAAGAGCAAUUAGUGCCUGCAAGAGCUGUCUCUGGGACAGCUGUUCAUGUCUAUAUCUGCAGGGUAACCCUCAUAGUCAUAUGCAGUCAUAUCCAUAGUCAUAUCGGGAGUCAGACUCCAGUUUGACUGAGUGAAUGGAGAAACUAAACAUUUAUUACUGAAUAAUAACAUUAAUAAACCAUCUUAAUGAUAGUAAUAAUAAACAUAUUGAUGAGUAUUAACAGGAAUGAUGAUUAUUAUGAUACUAAUAUCCAUAAUUAAUAAUUUUAAUAUUGAUAAUAAUACUAACCCUGUGGACUUGGGACCUAGAGAGCAGUUUCCCCUGACAAUUAUCCCAUAUUUGGCCACAUGGGGUAAUAUUGAGUUCCAGAAGGCAAAGAUUAACAUUCAGAAAAAUAGGAAAAACAACCUGCAGGUAGGCAUGUGCACACAUGGGGACUCUAUGGAUAAAUACUAAAGUGACUCUUGUUCUGGAUCUCCAUGCUAACAAACAUGCACCAGCUUUCAGGAGGUAGGACAGCUGGCUGAUGGGGCAAGGCUUCUUGAGGACAUGGCAGGAGUCAGAAAUCACACAUGCUGCCCAGCAGCAGAGCUCAUGACAAGCAGUAAACCCCAGUGAAAGGACCUGGCUGCCCUUCUGCCAUCUGCUCUCCCAUGGCCUCUGUUGACUGGUACAUCUAGGCACUGGAAUAACCUUCACUGGCUAUAGGAAGGCAUAAUCCUCAGUAUUCUCCCACCUGCAAGAAAGACAAAAAUUAACUGAAUACCAUGGCUUCUGGGUAUCCUUAGUGGGCUUAGUGUAUUUUGCAUUUGUUUUAACAGGCCAGUUAUCCAGGCAGUGACUUUCAGUACAGCUACAGUCACCUCUGGACACCUGUGGAGACUUUAAAAAUUUCCAGAAGUUCAGGAAUUUUUGGACACCUUUCUCAUGGCUAUGUUGCCUGCAAAGGUGAAUCAAUAAGCUUCUGAACUGACUUAGAAAAUGUUGCAGAGACUCUUGUGAGCAGAUAGACCCUCUCCUGCCACUCCAGAUAGACAUAUCUGGGUCACACACACCUGAUUUAACAACAUCUUGUUAUCUCAGGUGGGCAACAGACAGCAAUUUAGGACCUAUCCCAGUGUGGAUGAGAGAUAUUGAGUUGGCUUAGAAACAUGUUAGAUAGACUAGAUGGGGCAAGAAAGCCCAUUCUGGGGCUCAAAAGCCUGCACAUAGAGUUGCUGGCACAUAAAUGGUAUGUAUAAAUUCUUUCUCAGCCCAUGAGAUCAGGAUGUACUUCAUCAGUAUACCAUGCUGGUAUGAAGAGAUUCUUGCCUCAAAAGGGACUCAGAAUAUUUCAGGGAACCUGUAUUAGUCCAUUUUUACACUGUUGUAAAGACACUACCCCACAC